rnacentral:rRNA from 1 species
UGGGGAAUAUUGGACAAUGGGGGGAACCCUGAUCCAGCCAUGCCGCGUGUGUGAAGAAGGCCUUAUGGUUGUAAAGCACUUUAAGCGAGGAGGAGGGUACUGGUAUUAAUACUACCAGCUACUGGACGUUACUCGCAGAAUAAGCACCGGCUAACUCUGUGCCAGCAGCCGCGGUAAUACAGAGGGUGCGAGCGUUAAUCGGAUUUACUAGGCGUAAAGCGUGCGUAGGCGGCUAAUUGAGUCGGAUGUGAAAUCCCCGAGCUUAACUUGGGAAUUGCAUUCGAUACUGGUUAGCUAGAGUGUGGGAGAGGAUGGUAGAAUUCCAGGUGUAGCGGUGAAAUGCGUAGAGAUCUGGAGGAAUACCGAUGGCGAAGGCAGCCAUCUGGCCUAACACUGACGCUGAGGUACGAAAGCAUGGGGAGCAAACAGG